rnacentral:rRNA from 1 species
UACGGGGGGAGCAAGCGUUGUUCGGAUUUACUGGGCGUAAAGGGCGCGUAGGCGGCCACCGCAAGUCGACUGUGAAAUCUCCGGGCUUAACUCGGAAAGGUCAGCCGAUACUGCGGGGCUAGAGUGCAGAAGGGGCAACUGGAAUUCUCGGUGUAGCGGUGAAAUGCGUAGAUAUCGAGAGGAACACCUGCGGCGAAGGCGGGUUGCUGGGCUGACACUGACGCUGAGGCGCGAAAGCUAGGGGAGCGAACGGG